GGUUCAUUCAAAUUUCUUCCCUAUCAACUUUCGAUGCGAGGGUAUUGUCCUGCCAUGGGUUCAACGGGUAACGGAGGGUUAGGGCUCGACCCCGGAGAAGGGGCCUGAGAAACGGCUACUACAUCCAAGGAAGGCAGCAGGCGCGCAAAUUACCCAAUCCCGACCGGGGAGGUAGUGACAAUAAAUACUGAUACAGGGCUCUUUUGGGUCUUGUAAUCGGAAUGAGUACAAUUUAAAUCUCUUAACGAGGAACAAUUGGAGGGCAAGUCUGGUGCCAGCAGCCGGGUAAUUCCAGCUCCAAUAGCGUAUAUUACAGUUGUGUGGUUAAAAAGCUCGUAGUUG
rnacentral:rRNA from 1 species